UACGAAGGGGGCUAGCGUUGCUCGGAAUUACUGGGCGUAAAGCGCACGUAGGCGGCUUUCUAAGUCGGGGGUGAAAUCCUGGAGCUCAACUCCAGAACUGCCUUCGAUACUGGCGAUCUCGAGUUCGGGAGAGGUGAGUGGAACUGCGAGUGUAGAGGUGAAAUUCGUAGAUAUUCGCAAGAACACCAGUGGCGAAGGCGGCUCACUGGCCCGGUACUGACGCUGAGGUGCGAAAGCGUGGGGAGCAAACAGG
rnacentral:rRNA from 1 species